GAGGGCCUACGGGACGCAGCAGUGAGGAAUAUUGGUCAAUGGGCGCGAGCCUGAACCAGCCAAGUCGCGUGAGGGAAGACGGUCCUAUGGAUUGUAAACCUCUUUUGUCGGGGAGCAAAAGACGCCACGCGUGGCGUUCCGAGAGUACCCGAAGAAAAAGCAUCGGCUAACUCCGUGCCAGCAGCCGCGGUAAUACGGAGGAUGCGAGCGUUAUCCGGAUUUAUUGGGUUUAAAGGGUGCGUAGGCGGACGCUUAAGUCAGCGGUAAAAUUGCGGGGCUCAACCUCGUCGAGCCGUUGAAACUGG
rnacentral:rRNA from 1 species